UUGACCUCGAAUCAGGUAGGAAUACCCGCUGAACUUAAGCAUAUCAAUAAGCGGAGGAAAAGAAACCAACAGGGAUUGCCCC
rnacentral:rRNA from 1 species